rnacentral:lncRNA from 1 species
UUUGGAAAAGUCAUUGAUACAGAAUUACACUGGAGGACACAGUGGCAUUCCUGAAGUAUGCCAGCGAGCAGCUAACUGAGAUUAUAGAUUUGUGUACAUCAUUUGAACUUCAAUGGUUAUUUGGUAACUCUUACAAUCUAUUGCGUGUGUCAAACAGCAAAACAAAUGUAUAAAGAGGAGUGAUUGCUUCAGCAUUUCCUUGUUUUUUUUUUUCCCUAUUUGUUGCUCAUUUUUGUCUUUUUUUUUUCUUUUUUUCUUUUCUUUUUUUUUUUUUCUUUUUCUUGUAGUUUGCUUUGGUUACUGUUUCCGGUGAAGCAAGAGUUUGGAGAGUGCAAGUGGUGUUAGAACGGUGCUGUGCACAGCUGGGAACGAAGGCACCUCCCCAUGCAAAGCCAGCUCUCGGAUCCGAACCGAUGCAAAGGGAAAGUCUCCGUGCAGGGGGCACGUCGGGGCUGUCCUCGGGCAGGCGCAGCGGCAGCACCGAGCACAGACCUGGACCUCUGGGUGCAGCCCAAGACAAAACAACCGACUCCCCAGUGCAAUGUGCAAUGUGCACCUGAAGCCAAGCACAGCUCGGUGAGAAGGCCCGCGGCCCGGCAGGGGGGCGAGCUCCGAGGCCGAGGCUCUGCACAGACCCCGGUGAGCGCGGGGGCUCCCGGCGGCUCUGGGGCGUGCGGGGCUGCAGGAUCCCCGCGGGAAGGCACAGGGAAAGGAAGCCCUGCGCUCGGCUGCGAGCCUGCCGGCCUCACCACACCCCGGCCGCUGCUCCCAGGGCAUUUCUUUUUCUAAGAGAUUUCUCAAUGAAAAUUAUCACAAAUUUCUGGAGCAAAACCCAACUGUCUAGACCAAGGGCGGUAACCGCUCAAGACAGGGCUGCAUGUGCUCAUCUCUGGCUGCUCCAAAGCCACCUGCAUAUUUGGCACAGGUCAGGAAGAAAGGAGAUGCCAGCAUCGGUUCUUGAUGCUGUACGUGUUUUCCUAGGGGCGGAAGAUACAGAUCUGGAUUUUUUCGAGAGGAACAAUGUUUUUUACUGCAUUAUUUACUUAUUUUAUUUAAGAAGUGGCAGAAGAGGGAAAGAGCUGUAAACAAGGAUGGAAACCUCUCUGCUUGGGAGAGGCGUCUGGAGGAUGCAUAGAGCACUUCAUGCCUGUGCAUGGCCAGGAGCAGGGAGAUGGGGGAUUCUCCAGGACAAGGGUCUCCACUAAGCAGAAGAGCUCAUUGCAAUCCAGACAUACGUGUCGUGUCACGGGGGCAUGGAGGCGAAGCAGCAGGGAGGCUGCAUUUGGAUUGCUGACUUAGACUAAUGCUUGCUUUUUUUUUCUUUUUCUUUGUGCCAUUUAUGUGAUUAUUUUUGUGCUUCGUAUGCUCAAAAAUCCCUGGGA